rnacentral:rRNA from 1 species
GCUAAUACCGCAUAACAACUUGGACCGCAUGGUCCGAGUUUGAAAGAUGGCUUCGGCUAUCACUUUUGGAUGGUCCCGCGGCGUAUUAGCUAGAUGGUGAGGUAACGGCUCACCAUGGCAAUGAUACGUAGCCGACCUGAGAGGGUAAUCGGCCACAUUGGGACUGAGACACGGCCCAAACUCCUACGGGAGGCAGCAGUAGGGAAUCUUCCACAAUGGACGAAAGUCUGAUGGAGCAACGCCGCGUGAGUGAAGAAGGGUUUCGGCUCGUAAAACUCUGUUGUUAAAGAAGAACAUAUCUGAGAGUAACUGUUCAGGUAUUGACGGUAUUUAACCAGAAAGCCACGGCUAACUACGUGCCAGCAGCCGCGGUAAUACGUAGGUGGCAAGCGUUGUCCGGAUUUAUUGGGCGUAAAGCGAGCGCAGGCGGUUUUUUAAGUCUGAUGUGAAAGCCUUCGGCUCAACCGAAGAAGUGCAUCGGAAACUGGGAAACUUGAGUGCAGAAGAGGACAGUGGAACUCCAUGUGGUAGCGGUG